GGUCUGGUGGUCUAGCGGUAUGAUUCUCGCUUAGGGUAACAACCUGAGUAAGUUUGCGAGAGGUCCCGGGUUCAAUCCCCGGCCAGACCC